AUCUCGCGAUCUUCCUGCGUUUCCUCGCGUUCCGCCGCUGCCGCUUCUUCUUCAUCGUCCACCCCAGCGCGGGAGGGCGGCGUCACCACCUCCCCGAAGAACGUGGCCAUCUCCUUUCCAACCGCAACACCCGCCACUCGGUCCGCCGGCUGCUGACAAGCGGAUGCCCUUCCGGGUUAAAGCGAGCGGGCCGGUCUGCAAGGAUUGCUCGCUUCAACAGGCGACUCGGCGAGCAUGCUCAGAGGCAGCAACUGAACGAAGCCUGAGGCGGCGAUUGUAAUGGAGCCCCUCCCUCCUUGGCCAAUAGCUACGGAGAGACAAAGUCCCGCCGCUGCCGAGUUUCCAUGCGAUCUUGAACCCCUCGUUGAAGAUCGCGUGGAAACUUUGUACUCCGACUUCCUUCAGAUGUUUCUGUCGACGCUUCCACCGGCGAUUUAUUUAUACGCGAGUAGCUCCGCGCCCGCGUGUAUGGCCUCCCGCCUGCGUCUGAAACUUCGCGAGAGAAGAAAGCUGCCUCCGUGUGGGGACGCCGUUUGCUUUGCCUUCGCAUGCUAAAGCGUGCCAUUGUGCUGGUUUAUAGUUUGCCAGGCGAUGUGUUGAGAUUGGCUCCUUAAGGCUGCAGUCGCUUGCUCGUUUAUUUGGGUGUAAGCCCCGUUAGAUUCAGUAGCAGGCCUCAGGCUGCAGUCUUAAUUCCACUUACCCGGGAGUAAGCCCCAUUGGAUUUAGAACGAUUUACCUCUGAGUAGACAUGGGGCUCGUCCAAGGUUACCUGGAUAAUCCAUGUUUUCCAUUGUCGCGUUGUCAUCUUGCCCCCCCAACUGCAGAAAAGACCACCUUAUUUCAAGCAGCUUUACAGCUUGUAGAAGGAAGGGGGGCGUCCUUCGUCGGUGGAUUGGCGGCGGGCUGUGCAUCCAGAACCUGAGGAACUGUCAGCGAAGAGGAGGUGCAAGAAGCACAACAUGAAGAGCACCCACAUGCUCAAGAGGGGGACUCUUCUUCUGGAGAAUGCCCACCAUACAGCCCAAAGGAACCAGUGUGGUAUGUUGACAGCUGUACACAAACGGAGACGGUGACAGAAUUGACACAAAUGACAGUUCUUGAGGAUGUCAUGUGCAGAACACAAGUAAAUGAGGGCAAAUGUUUCACUCGAGCACAACAGUUGGAGACCAGAGUAAAGGCCCUCGAGGAUGUCAUUACACAAAUGCAGAACAUGUGGAUUAAUGGACUCGACCAGAGGUUGAAAGUGAUAGAGGACUCAUUUUACAGAGCACAAGCUGUGGCAAGGCAGGCUCCUGUGCACCAUUAAAAACUGACAGUUCAGAACCGGCCAGAGAGACAGACUUUACCUUUUUUUGCACAUGCCCUUCCUGGAUGCUGAGCGAGCUGGUCAGUUGCCACACAUCAUUCCAGAAUGAUUUCUACACAACCCCUACUCUUCCACUGCACUUGAUCUGAGAAGUAUUAACCCUGCUCUGCAACGAGCCAUGCUUUGAAUCCUUCAAGGUUCUUUAAUACGUUUUGGUCUGCCACUCCCAGCUCUCUAUGUAUUGAACCUGAAUCUGAUUGUGCCAAUAUUGCACAUGUUUACCCUAGGCCAAGAUUUGCAGAAGACUACCUUUUGUGCCAUGUAAUUUAACUUGCUUUAAGUAAAGGGGGGAGACUCUGUGUUAAGUUUAGUUAGUAAGUUUGUGUUGCACUGGUUCUGACUAUGCCUGUGUGCAUCCAGAACCUGUGUUUUGUUUACAUUUCUGGUGUUUCUGUGUGCCCUGCCAGCUCAUGUUGUUUACCGUUCUCAUCCCAGUUACGGUGUAAAUUCAACUUUGGAACCCUCUCACGAUGGCCAUUCCUUGUUGUUUUGGUUGUGUUAGUAUGAAUAACAACAUGAGAAACUUU